CUUCCUGUUUUAGUACCACCCAUCUGCUUCCUCACAAGGUGUGUGGCUAUGCUAACAGGAUAGAGGAACUCUAUCUAGAGUCUGUCAAGAUCUGAAGGGGUGGAUGGCCACACCUCCUCCACCUCUAUAUGAAUUGGCAGUACAUCUGUAU